ACCGCGGAGGCCGGUGCAGCCCGUGGGCUCAGCUCGCUCUGCAGGGAAGGCUUGUCUACGCCCCCCGCCCGUAACUCGGUCUGGUCUGGGGAGGGGGGGAAUUUGUUUUUUCUGGAAGUACCCCCCCACCACCACUGUGGUGAAGAAUCUGAGGCUGGGCUCCAAUCGAGGCGGAGGCUGCAGGGCCCGCGGGGCGCCCCCCGCUCCGCACACUCCUCCCUGGAGCCCUGGAAGGCGCAGCCCCGGGGGGCCCCCCUGCACCCUCGGAGGAGGCAGCGGCGGUGAGUCGGCCCCCUUUUUCCUGCAUGGCACCCCUCUUCUGGGCCAGGGCAGGGGCCGCGGCAGAUAAACCUGCCAGUUAUUUCUGCAAAGGAAACGUGGAAGGCAUGAAGGCCAGUGCAUGGAAAACGCUCCGAUUUUGAUAAAAAGAGGCCGGCUCACCUUGGAAGCCUCCCUCCUGCCUGUCAGAAGAUGCAAAGAUGUUUCCAGUGAAGGGGCUGAUGAAUUGAGGGAAAAGAGACAUGGCCAAUCCUCAGACUCGGUGGUGACACAGGAAUGACACUCAAGAAAUUGUCAUCGAAUGGACCAGCCAAUGUCACUUCCAACCAUACUGCCGUCUGAAAUUGCAGAAGCCCUCCACCUGCCACCCUAACCGCUACUUCCUGUGCCAGGCAGGCUCUGUCCAUGAUGUCAUAAUUCAGAAAACUAUCCCAGAUGUUAUGGAUAGAAUGUGUCCCCAAAAAUAUGUUCGAUAAAUCCUAACCCCUAUACCUAUGGUCGUAAUCCCAUUUUGGAAUGGGUUUUUUGUUAUGCUAAUAGGGCAGUUUUAGUGUAGGGUGUAUCUUAAAUCAGUCUCUUUUGAGAUCUAAAUCAAGCAGAUUAGUUACAGAGAAGCAAGCAGAGAUGGGGAAAGGUAGAUACCACACCCCCUGAAGGUCACCAAGGAACCACGGGACUGGGAAGGCCUUUUCCCCAGAACCAACAGACAGAGAACACCUUCCCCUAGAGCCAGCACCCUGAAUUCGAACUUCUAGCCUCCUAAACUGUGAGAAAAUAAAUUUCUGUUUGUUAAAUCCA